rnacentral:rRNA from 1 species
GACGAACGCUGGCGGCGUGCUUAACACAUGCAAGUCGAACGGUGAAGGGGCCUGCUUUUGUGGGCCCUGGAUGAGUGGCGAACGGGUGAGUAACACGUGAGUAACCUGCCCCCUUCUUCUGGAUAACCGCAUGAAAGUGUGGCUAAUACGGGAUAUUCUGGGUCUGUCGCAUGAUGGGUCUGGGAAAGAUUGCGCCUUUGGGUGUUUUUGGUGGGGGAUGGGCUCGCGGCCUAUCAGCUUGUUGGUGGGGUGAUGGCCUACCAAGGCGGUGACGGGUAGCCGGCCUGAGAGGGUGGACGGUCACACUGGGACUGAGACACGGCCCAGACUCCUACGGGAGGCAGCAGUGGGGAAUAUUGAACAAUGGGCGCAAGCCUGAUGCAGCGACGCCGCGUGAGGGAUGGAGGCCUUCGGGUUGUAAACCUCUUUCGCCAGUGAAGCAGGCCUGCUCCUUGUGGGUGGGUUGACGGUAGCUGGAUAAGAAGCGCCGGCUAACUACGUG